UAGUCAUAUGCUUGUCUCAAAGAUUAAGCCAUGCAUGUUUCAGUAUCAGGUUCUAUACGGGGCAACUGUGAAUGGCUCAUUACAACAGUUAUAGUUUAUUUGAUGGUCAUUCACUACAUGGAUAACCGUGGUAAUUCUAGAGUUAAUACAUGUGCCCAAACCUGACUUGGUGGAAGGGUUGUGUUUAUCAGAUACAGAACCAACCCAGGCUGUGUCUGUUAUUGUGGUGAUUCAUAAUAACCGAACGAAUUGCAUGGCUUCUGCCGGGGAUGAAUCAUUCAAGUUUGUGACCUAUCAGCUUCUGACGGUAGGGUAUUGGCCUACCGUGGCAAUGACGGGUAACGGACAAUUAGGGUUUGAUUCCGGAGAGGGAGCGUGUGAAACGGCUACCACAUCUAAGGAAGGCAGCAGGCGGGCAAAUUACCCAAUCUUGACACAGGGAGGUAGCGCCAAGAAAUAACAAUACAGGGCAUCCAUGUCUUGUAAUCUGGAAUGAGUAGAAUUUAAAUCCCUUUCCGAGUAUCAAUG
rnacentral:rRNA from 1 species